rnacentral:rRNA from 1 species
CACGUAGGCGGAUUUUUAAGUCAGGGGUGAAAUCCCAAGGCUCAACCUUGGAACUGCCUUUGAUACUGGAAGUCUCGAGUCCGGGAGAGGUGAGUGGAACUGCGAGUGUAGAGGUGAAAUUCGUAGAUAUUCGCAAGAACACCAGUGGCGAAGGCGGCUCACUGGCCCGGAACUGACGCUGAGGUGCGAAAGCGUGGGGAGCAAACA